rnacentral:rRNA from 1 species
UACGUAGGGGGCUAGCGUUAUCCGGAAUUACUGGGCGUAAAGGGUGCGUAGGUGGUUUCUUAAGUCAGAGGUGAAAGGCUACGGCUCAACCGUAGUAAGCCUUUGAAACUGGGGAACUUGAGUGCAGGAGAGGAGAGUGGAAUUCCUAGUGUAGCGGUGAAAUGCGUAGAUAUUAGGAGGAACACCGGUUGCGAAGGCGGCUCUCUGGACUGUAACUGACACUGAGGCACGAAAGCGUGGGGAGCAAACAGG